UACGUAGGGGUCAAGCGUUGUCCGGAUUUAUUGGGCGUAAAGAGCGUGUAGGCGGCCAGGUAGGUCUGCUGUGAAAACUCGAGGCUCAACCUCGAGACGUCGGCGGAAACCAUCUGGCUAGAGUCCGGAAGAGGAGAGUGGAAUUCCUGGUGUAGCGGUGAAAUGCGCAGACAUCAGGAAGAACACCCGUGGCGAAGGCGGCUCUCUGGGACGGUACUGACGCUGAGACGCGAAAGCGUGGGGAGCGAACAGG
rnacentral:rRNA from 1 species